GAUGAACGCUGGCGGCGUGCCUAAUACAUGCAAGUCGAGCGAACAGAUGAGGAGCUUGCUCCUCUGACGUUAGCGGCGGACGGGUGAGUAACACGUGGAUAACCUACCUAUAAGACUGGGAUAACUUCGGGAAACCGGAGCUAAUACCGGAUAAUAUAUUGAACCGCAGGGUUCAAUAGUGAAAGACGGUUUUGCUGUCACUUAUAGAUGGAUCCGUGCCGCUUUAGCUAGUUGGUAAGGUAACGGCUUACCAAGGCGACGAUGCGUAGCCGACGCGAGGGGGUGAGCGGCCCCUGGGAACCUGAGACGGGCCCCAGCCUCCCGCGGGGCGCAGGAGGGGGAACUCUUCCGAUAUGGGCGAGAGCCUGAGGGCGACGCGCCGCGUGUGUGGUCAAGCUUCGCGGUUCGUAAAACUCUUUUAUUGGACGAAAAGAAAUCUUGAAAUAACUAUGCACGUUUUGCCGUUACCUAAUCAAAAAGCCCCGCCUACUACGUG
rnacentral:rRNA from 1 species